rnacentral:rRNA from 1 species
UGAAUACGAGAUGCUACGGCGUCGAAGCAGUUUAUGUCAGACUUCCAAGAAAAGCUCGCAAUGUCAUAAAUAAAGAAUGCCUGUACCAUAACCGACACAGGUGGGUAGGUAGAGUAUACUAAGGGGCGCGAGAUAACUCUCUCUAAGGAACUCGGCAAAAUAACUCCGUAACUUCGGGAGAAGGAGUGCCUUCUUUAAGAAGGUUGCAAUAACAAGAUCCAAGCAACUGUUUAUCAAAAACACAGGUCUCCGCUAAGUCGUAAGACGAUGUAUGGGGGCUGACGCCUGCCCAGUGCCAGAAGGUUAAAGAAGCUGGUUAGCAAUAGCGAAGCUGGUGACUGAAGCCCUGGUGAACGGCGGCCGUAACGAUAACGGUCCUAAGGUAGCGAAAUUCCUUGUCGGGUAAGUUCCGACCCGCACGAAAGGCGUAAUGAUUUGGAUACUGUCUCGGAGAGGGACUCGGUGAAAUAGACUUGUCUGUGAAGAUGCGGACUACCUGCACCAGGACAGAAAGACCCUAUGAAGCUUUACUGUAACCUGAAAUUGAAAUUGGACUUUAUUUGCGCAGUAUAGGUGGGAGGCGUUGAAAGUAAUCUUGUGGGAUUAGUGGAGCCAUCAGUGAGAUACCACUCCUAUAAUGUUAGAUUUCUAACUUUGGAUCAUGAUCUGGUCAAAGAACAGUUUCAGGCGGGCAGUUUGACUGGGGCGGUCGCCUCCCAAAUGGUAACGGAGGCGUACAAAGGUUUCCUCUGAACGGGUAGAAAUCGUAUCUAGAGUGUAAAGGCAUAAGGAAGCUUGACUGUGAGACCUACAAGUCGAGCAGGGACGAAAGUCGGUCUUAGUGAUCUGACGGUGCUGAGUGGAAAGGCCGUCACUCAACGGAUAAAAGUUACUCUAAGGAUAACAGGCUGAUCUCCCCCAAGAGUUCACAUCGACGGGGAGGUUUGGCACCUCGAUGUCGGCUCAUCGCAUCCUGGGGCGGUAGUACGUCCCAAGGGUUGGGCUGUUCGCCCAUGAAAGCGGUACGCGAGCUGGGUUCAGAACGUCGUGAGACAGUUCGGUCCAUAUCCGGUGUAGGCGUUAGAAUAUUGAGAGGAGCCUUCUCUAGUACGAGAGGACCGAGAAGGACAUACCUCUGGUGUACCAGUUAUCGUGCCAACGGUAAACGCUGGGUAGCUAUGUAUGGAGAGGAUAACCGCUGAAAGCAUCUAAGUGGGAAGCCCACCUCAAGAUGAGUAUUCUCAU